rnacentral:rRNA from 1 species
GACGAACGCUGGCGACGUGCCUAAUACAUGCAAGUGGGACGCAAGGGAACACACUGUGCUUGCACACCGUGUUUUCUUGAGUCGCGAACGGGUGAGUAACGCGUAGGUAACCUGCCUAUUAGCGGGGGAUAACUAUUGGAAACGAUAGCUAAUACCGCAUAAUAUUAAUUAUUGCAUGAUAAUUGAUUGAAAGAUGCAAGCGCAUCACUAGUAGAUGGACCUGCGUUGUAUUAGCUAGUUGGUAAGGUAAGAGCUUACCAAGGCGACGAUACAUAGCCGACCUGAGAGGGUGAUCGGCCACACUGGGACUGAGACACGGCCCAGACUCCUACGGGAGGCAGCAGUAGGGAAUCUUCGGCAAUGGACGAAAGUCUGACCGAGCAACGCCGCGUGAGUGAAGAAG